rnacentral:ncRNA from 2 species
CGCUAAAUACCUCCUUGUGGUAGACUGCUAAAUCUUAGAGUUGGGAAACUCCGGUUAAAUUCCGGGACUGUGCCGCAGCUGUGAAGAGAAGGCAAAAAGUGAAAGAAAAGAAUUUUCGUUUUACUUGUUAGUUUCUGAGUCAGAAUGCCAACGCUAAGAAGUUUAUCAAG